ACCGCUCCCUCACUCCCUCUGGUUUCUGCAACUCUCAGACAAGCCUCUCCGUGGCUUUGGCCUCCACACAGCACCGACCUUCUCAUGGCAUGGCAGAAACGACUAGCUGUCCACAGAAUGCUUGCUCUCCAUGCAUGUGCUCUGGCCACCCAGGGACUACUGUCUCCAGUGUCCCGCAGGGAGGGACAGCCCCGUGCUGGCCUCACCAGUGGAGUGUGCGGGACCCACCCAUACUAUCAGGCAGGACUCCCCCAUGAUCUCCUCCCUUUUCAGGUUGACAGGAGUGAGUUCCCCAGAGCCACCUCUGAAGCCAGGUGCUGAAGAUGAUAAAAGUUCCAUCAGCCAGGAUGGAAGUCUGCGUGGAAGAGGACAGCCUGCCGACCUGCUGACCCACCCAGUUCUGGGACGCGAGCGAAAACUCAACUUCUGUUGUAUGUAAACCGCUUCCAUCUUGGGCUGUCUUGGGAGCAGCAGGAAGUAUUGUCAAGUCUCCACCCUAAAGGUCUCCACUUCUAAAGGUUCUGCAACUGGUGAUGUCCCCUCUACAGUGCAAAUCAGGAGUGAAGCAGGAACGACAGGGUGGACAGGACGGACUCCGGUGCCUCCCACUCUGAGUCCAGCCUAAGAACUCACAUGCUUUCUUGGAAGCCAGUUCACAUGGUUGACUCGCAGUGAAUUAUUGUCAUUCAGAAACACUCAGACAUCAAGUCAACACAUGGCUUUUCUAAGGACCUACUAGGUCUUCCUGUGACUACGAGUCAAACGCAACCUGGGCCCGCGCGUGAUGUGCAGAAUCAGAAUCAGCAGCUGGGUAAUCACACUCGAAGUGAAUUUUCACAUUUUCUAAAGACUGUUGGAAAGUGGUGACUGGGAAGAUUAUGUGGGUGUGGAUAUUAAGGGUGCCUGACCAAAAGGAGCACACCUUAAAUUAGGGAAGGGCAAAGUGAAUAUGAGCGCUCAGUAAGUAAGGUAGCUAUUAUUUUUAUUGUCCCUUUCAGACAGUAUUUCUUAACCUGUGGGGAAAAUACAUUUGCAAUAGCUGUCUAUACAUAGUACUGCGGCUUCUUAAUUAUCAUACAGACACUGAACAAAAAUUAAAAGCUUAUUGCAGAUGCUCUUCUUAGAUACAGAACAUUCUUGCAUGCCUUCCGUGGUCCUCACACCGAAUGAUUCCUGCUGGCAGAUGUUGUCCUCGGAAGCAGCCUUUAUUGUCCUCUUUUACCAGCCAAGGAUCAG